CAAAGGGAUUACCGGUGGCGGAUGGGCAUGCGGCGCAUUAGCUAGUCGGCGGGGUAACGGCCCACCGAGGCGACGAUGCGUAGGGGUUCUGAGAGGAAGGUCCCCCACACUGGUACUGAGACACGGACCAGACUCCUACGGGAGGCAGCAGUGAGGAAUAUUGGUCAAUGGGCGCGAGCCUGAACCAGCCAAGUCGCGUGAGGGAUGACGGUCCUACGGAUUGUAAGCCUCUUUUGCCGGGGAGCAAGCGUGCGUUCGUGAACGCGCGUCGAGAGUACCCGGAGAAAAAGCAUCGGCUAACUCCGUGCCAGCAGCCGCGGUAAUACGGAGGAUGCGAGCGUUAUCCGGAUUUAUUGGGUUUAAAGGGUGCGUAGGCGGGAUGCCAAGUCAGCGGUAAAAAUGCGGUGCUCAACGCCGUCGAGCCGUUGAAACUGGCGUUCUUGAGUGGGCGAGAAGUAUGCGGAAUGCGUGGUGUAGCGGUGAAAUGCAUAGAUAUCACGCAGAACUCCGAUUGCGAAGGCAGCAUACCGGCGCCCUACUGACGCUGAGGCACGAAAGCGUGGGUAUCGAACAGGAUUAGAUACCCUGGUAGUCCACGCAGUAAACGAUGAAUGCUAACUGUCCGGCUCGAAUGAGCGCUG
rnacentral:rRNA from 1 species